GCCGGAGUGGCGGAAUGGUAUACGCGAUCGACUCAAAAUCGAUUGAGGCAACUCGUGAGGGUUCGAGUCCCUCCUCCGGCA
rnacentral:tRNA from 1 species